GAAAGGCGAAACGUAAUGUGAAUCGCAACUAACAGUGAAUCAUUGAAUCUUUGAACGCAAGCCGCACUUUCCGGUUGCAGUUUCGGCUGGAAACGGAAAGUAUCUGCGUAUGAGUGUCAGCCAAAUAUCCAUUUGGUUCAUGAAGGAACUAUGAUAUUUUCAUAGUUAAUUUAUGAAUACACACAUGUCUGUUUGACAUAUCACUUUAGAUAUCCUAUAAAACAACAUGAUGUCUGGCCUCAUAUGUGGAAGAUUACCCGCUGGAUUUAAGC
rnacentral:misc_RNA from 1 species